UCAAUAGUGUUAUUAUUAGACAGUCUGCCUCGAUGUUAUAUAAAUAUGGAGUCAAACUGAACUGAUAGAGCACAUUACAAUUUGCAGUCUCCAGAUGCUUCGUGAUUUGAUCUUCAGUUGCCUCAAGCUGCAGAACAAUGACCGUUCUACCCAAGGAAGAAGCAUGGCAAGCUGACUACACACUUUCAAAGACAAUUUGGGCACGAGGGAUGCUUUCUCUCAAACAGAACGUAAAUUCAGAAGUAAAUACAAUUAAGCUGAUUAACGAGGAUUAUUCUACAGACUGAAUGUUAUCCGAAUGCUGUCUGAGGGCUAAGACUGAUUCGAUCUUGGGGGUG